ACUUGCGUGGAGGUCAGCCGUGAAACAGAACAAUCUGGAAAUCUCCAGUGUGAGAGAAACAGAUGCUGGACGGUUCACAUGUUCGGCAGAUUGGACACGUCAUAACCAUUCACUUUCUGUGUUCUCAGUUUUGGUCUCCGUCAAACCCUCUGAUGUUCUCGAGCUAAACGAUGAGGCAACGCUCAGGUGUGAGGUGAAAGGUCAGCACCAUGGUUGUGAAGUGAAGUGGAGAAGUCCAAAUACAUAUUCACUCACAAAUACAUCAACAGUUCAACUCAAACCUGUAAAAACCUCACAUAACGGGCCCUGGGAGUGUAUCGUCACCUGUGGCAGGAAUACAUUUAGUGAGCGUCUGGCCAUCACAGUACAAGAGCCUCCAACUACAACUCCACCAUCCACCCCGAAGAACGUCACAUUGUUUGUAACGAGUGCUCAGAAGACAAC